GUGAGGGAAAGGCGAAAAGAACCCCGGCGAGGGGAGUGAAAAAGAACCUGAAACCGUGUACGUACAAGCAGUGGGAGCACCUUCGGGUGUGACUGCGUACCUUUUGUAUAAUGGGUCAGCGACUUAUAUUCUGUAGCAAGGUUAACCGUAUAGGGGAGCCGCAGGGAAACCGAGUCUUAACUGGGCGUUAAGUUGCAGGGUAUAGACCCGAAACCCGGUGAUCUAGCCAUGGGCAGGUUGAAGGUUGGGUAACACUAACUGGAGGACCGAACCGACUAAUGUUGAAAAAUUAGCGGAUGACUUGUGGCUGGGGGUGAAAGGCCAAUCAAACCGGGAGAUAGCUGGUUCUCCCCGAAAGCU
rnacentral:rRNA from 1 species